rnacentral:lncRNA from 1 species
GAAAUUUUAACACAAGGUUUAUGACCACAAAAGGAAGGUUGGUAUUGAUUUUGGGAGUUUUGGUCCCAACAUUUUAGGAAUUAGGGGCCAAAAAGGGCCCAAAUAAGCAUUUUCUUGGUUUUCGCACUAUAACUUUAGUUUAAGUUAAUAGAAAUCUAUGAAAUUUUGACACAAGGUUUAUCACCACAAAAGAAAGGUUGGGAUUGAUUUUGGGAGUUUUGGUUCCAACAGUUUAGGAAUUAGGG